rnacentral:lncRNA from 1 species
CGCGGCGCGGACGACCCAGACGCCUCUUGCGUCACGGCGUCCCCGCGCACACUGCGGGCUUGGCCCGUGUCCCGGCGCCUGCGAAUUCUCGCGGGCUGCGGACAGUUGGUGGCCGAAAAGGUUUUUGAGUUUCGUGCAGGACAUUGGAAUUACUUGAAGUGGCAUCCUUUCCCAGGCUGGCCGUCCAACUAACUGCUCUGUCCCCAGAGCCAGACAGAGCCACGUACGUGGCAUGAGCUCUCUGGCCCUCCUUUGAUGGUGUCCUGCGGUGGUGCCCAGUGCUGUCUUCUGGAAACAGUUACCACUUAAACGGAGUGAACACAGCUGGGACCAAUGUGUUAAACACUUCUACUGAGCUUAAACUUCACUAGUAAAAAAAGUUGCUUUAUACUUGUAC